CAUAAGCUUUAUUUAUUCAUUUUAGUCUUAAAUGUAUGUCAAAAUUGGGUAAGAAUUUAGUUAAGAAUACCACAGUUUUUAUUCUCUGUUUUUUCUUCUAGAUAGAGCAUCGAGCAGCAAUCAUAUUUUGCUUAAGGAAGUUCACUGCAUACACUUGUUCCCAAGGAGAGUCUCCCAGAAGCUGAAAUCCUCAGAAAGAACUGCAGCUGGUACUUAGAGUCUUCCAGCCCACAGUGGAAUCUCCCCACCACCUGUCUCCCUUGUUUCUCCCACUCUGUGCACCGUCCCUCUACUUGGAGUCUCCACCGUGAGUAUGCUGCUUAAAUAGAUAGAACUAGUAUCUAUGUGUGGGCAUUGCUGGUAGAAUUUCUCCUAUAACCUAAGAA
rnacentral:lncRNA from 1 species